CCAGCACCAUCGUCGAAGGACAGGAUUUCAUAUUGAGAAGAUGUACUGCAGUAAAUCAAGACUACCAGUUUGUGAGCUGAUAUGCAGUGGAAAUUGACAUCCAGAAGGAAGUCAUAAAGGAAACACCAGCUGAUACAAGUGCUGCAGAGGAUCUUUGCAGAAUUCACUCUAAUAUUAGGAAGAAAUUUAAGAUCCGAGUUCAACGCUGCAUUGGACACACACCGCUCGUUUGAAAUUUUCAAAAAAGAGGAGGAAAUUGCAGAAGAAAAUUAGAUGAGAUUUUGCAACAAGUUUAU